GCAGCGGAGCAUGUGGUUUAAUUCGAAGCAACGCGAAGAACCUUACCAAGGCUUGACAUCCCCUUGACAGAUGCAGAGAUGUGUCCUCCCCUUCGGGGGCAAGGGAGACAGGUGGUGCAUGGUUGUCGUCAGCUCGUGUCGUGAGAUGUUGGGUUAAGUCCCGCAACGAGCGCAACCCUUGUCAUUAGUUGCCAGCAUUAAGGUGGGCACUCUAAUGAGACUGCCGGUGAUAAACCGGAGGAAGGUGGGGAUGACGUCAAAUCAUCAUGCCCCUUAUGUCUUGGGCUACACACGUGCUACAAUGGUCGGAACAAAGGGAAGCGAAGAAGCGAUUCGGAGCAAAACCUAAUAAACCGAUCCCAGUUCGGAUUGCAGGCUGCAACUCGCCUGCAUGAAGUCGGAGUUGCUAGUAAUCGCGAAUCAGAACGUCGCGGUGAAUGCGUUCCCGGGUCUUGUACACACCGCCCGUCACACCAUGGAAGUUGAUAAUACCCAAAGUCGAUGAGCUAACCGAAAGGAGGCAGUCGCCUAAGGUAGGAUUAAUGACUGGGGUGAAGUCGUAACAAGGUAGCCGUAUCGGAAGGUGCGGCUGGAUCACCUCCUU
rnacentral:rRNA from 1 species